rnacentral:lncRNA from 1 species
AGUAUAGUGUACCAAUAUCUGGUAAGUAGGUAAGAUAUGUGCACACAUAACCAACUUACCAGAUAUUGGUACACUAUACUCCAUUACAAAAAACAACCUUAAUAUAAGUUAAGUGAGAUGAUAUAAAGACUGUCAUUUCUUAAUUUGUUCUUUUUAGAUACCCAUGACAGAGGAGUAUAUUUUGACAUAUUAUACAUACAUGGAGUAUAACUUAUUCUAAUUAGGAUCCCAUUCUUGUGGUUGUACAUGAUGUAGAGUUUUACCGGUCAUAUAUUCAUAUGUGAACAUAAGAAAGUUAUGUCCAUUUCAUUCUACUGUCUUUCCUGUUAAGAUUAUCAUUUUAAAUAAAGGUGAACUCACUUUAACUAAGGUGAUGAUAGCAAGGAAGAAGUAAGUUUUGGUAAAAGUUUAAUAGACUGUAGGGAGAGGAUGAGAAUUAAAGCAAAUUGAAUGAUGAAAAUAGGCAAAGCUGGGAAAAUGGACUGUUAUGCUGGGGAUGGUAAGUUUUUAUUGAGCCCUACUACCCAAGACUGUCCUGAGUGUUCUAAAUGACAAAACUCAUAUUUUCUAACACUUAAAUUCUCAUUGUUUCAAUGCUAUAGUAACUUCAAAAUAAAUUUGGGUAGAAUGUAAUAGGUUUGUUCAAGUGACUGAUAAGAGAUAUACUGACAGUACAGGCCAAGGAAGUCAAAGGCUUUAAAUGCUGAACUAUAACAUUUUCACUUAAGUGGAAAAUUGGGAGAUCAGUAGGAAAUAUAUAUUAAGCAUUUAAUGUAGGAGGUGGCUUUUCAAUUGUGGGGAUUGGUUAACUAAGUCCUAAAUCCAUAGGUCAGGCUAUCAGGAAGGCAGGCUGGACAAGCAGAUAGCAACUAAAGCUGCAACCAGUGGAUGAAAUUUGUAUUUUAGGGAAGCUUCAAUUCUACCCUUAAAGUCUUUCAGCUGAUUGAAUCAGACCCACCCAUUUAUGUAGACUAAAUAUGGAAUACUUAAAGUCAAUUGAUUAUGGAUUUUAACCAUGGCUUCAAGAUACCUUUUACAGUAACAGCUAGGAUAGUGUUCGAAUAAUUGGAGAUGAUAGCCAGUCAAGUGGACACAUAAAACUGACCAUUACAGUUGAGAUCAUUUCAUGUAUUUUGAAUCCUUUGGUUCUGUUUGCAAAAAUAUUUUUAUUUCCCUUUAGUGUAGAGUUUACAGUGUUGAGAAGUGAUACAACCUCAACAGUUUCAUAGGAGGAAUAAUAUAUCAUAGUGUAUAGCAUUAGCUGAAGGGAAGUGUGGAAAGCAGUUAGAAUGUCAGAUAGUUGCAGCUGUGUUCUGAUUAGAAUGGGGUGUAGGGAAGCUUUGCAGAAGAGGCGAUUGCCAAAGAAGAAUCUUAAAGAGUGGGUGGAAUAACCCAACAAGAAAAAGGAUGUUCUCAGCCUGUGCCCGGAGAGAGGUAAGCUAGAAUUGUUGUUGGAAGAACUUUAAGUGUAUAGAGCACCUGUAGCAAAAUGAGAGAUGACUUUGCAACAGAUAUUAUCAUCCAUUGUUGGAUGAGGGAACAGUUUCAGACAAGCUAAAUGGUUUAGUCAAAUUGACAAGCAAAUAGAAUGGUAGCAUCAGAAUUAAAUUUAGGUGUGACUCUAAAGCUUAUGUCACUUCUACAAGACAGUGUUCCCCAGAUCCUAGAGUCAUUUCUGAUUUAUUUACUAUUAUAGGCAAAUGCAGUGAGUAAUCUUUUUUCCUGGAAAUGUAAUUUUCUACAUCUCCUUAAUUAAGUUCUGUAUUUAAUUUUGAUAUAUGCUUACCUUCUCCUUAUCCCUUGCUAGUUCAGAUGUCUUCUGCUUUAUAACCAAAUAUUCUUAUUUCAUCCCAUGACUACUCUUGCUUUCCCUUGGACCAUUACUGACUCUCACUUCUCUCUUUCCAGUGCUAUCACUAACAGAUUUUUAUAAUGACCUGGGACUAAUGCAAAAGAGAAGAAGGAGAGGAAAGAGAAUAAAAAUAAAAGUAAUAACAGUAGCCAUCAUUUACUAAGUAGUAGUAAUAUUCUAGGCAUUUUGUUAAGCUCUUUAUUUAAUCUCAUGUAAGCAUUAUAAGCAUUGCUAAGUAGGUAUGAAAUUAUUCCCAUUUUAUAGAUGGGAUAAAACUAAGUCUCAGAAAGCUUUAAUACUUAUGAUUCCCACAGUGAGAAAGUAUGGGAGCUAGGGUAUGAAAUCUGAUCUACCCAGCUCCAAACUCUUAGUUACAAUAUUGUGGGUUAGCCCCCCCGCUUUACAACUAUGUCCUAGUUUAUGCUUAAUUCUUACUUGUUUUUGAUAACAUUUUAUGCAGCAGGGAAGAACUAUAAAAAAGGAAAAGAAUCUCUUCCUUUUCCUCCUUGAAAUUCCCUACUUUCAGAAAGUAGUUGUUUAUUGUUACCUCAUUUAGCUUUGGCUAAAACAGAAAAACAGAAAAAACAUGAAAUGGAAGCAGAAGAGUACCAUGUUUCCUUUCCACCCCUUCUUCUCUCCAGCUGUGUUUAACUCUUCUGAAAGUCUUUAUUAUACUUAUUGAUGUAACUGGCCCAGAGCAUCCAUUGGCCUGCCUGACCCAUGGAGAUUAUCAAUGGUGACGUACUUUGAAGGAACUCCCUUGUUUGGCAGGUUGUUGGGAAGAGUAGAUAUGACUGAAAGGACCUGUGGUAGUUGGGCAGUGGAGUAGCCUGGGUAGCAUGUCAAAUUGUAGUUUGAAUAAAUAGAAACAUUGUUCUAAAUGAACAUUAAGUCUUAUAAUGUAUUAUGGAUUAAAUAAGCUUUUGAGUUAUCCAGAAAUUUCUGUAAACAUUUAUAAAAUUGAGAGAAUACGUUAAGUUUUGAACAAUUUAUUAUUAUAAACAGACUUUAGGACCAUGAUCACUUGUGACUUCAGAAUUGUCUAACUGUAACAAUCCCAAAAUAUCCAGUUUUUUCUUCUGUAAUAUGUUCCUCAAAUGACAGAUUAUUUUCUUUUGUUUUUUAAUGUAGCUCUUUUAUUUAUCAUCUAAUUGUAGAACUAUUGAAAGACAGUAAAAUGUUUUCUUCACUUUAUAAAAUCUCUUAAAAGCCUAUCAAUUAGCAUAGGUUGUUGGAAGCGUUUCAAUAUUAUGUUUGAUUUUCAGAAAGCAAGCCAUCUCCUGCCAUGUAGUUUUGUAGCUAUUGGCAUUUUAGUAACAUUCUUCCUGCUGAUUCAAGCCUGUCCCUGGACUUACUAUGUAUAUUGUUUGUUGCCAGUGCCAAUAUGGUAUGCAGUUCUAAAAGAGUAAGUAACUAUCCUGCUGCCUUGUUUUUCACUUCAUUGACAGCUAAAUCUACAUUUAAAAUGCAUUAGAUUUCUGAGGCAUACAUCAUCAAAGAUAUUUAUAAUAUUCUCAAAUCUCUAAACUCUCUCACUUUAUUUAUAACUAUGUAAAUGUUGCAUAUAAGCAUUCUGUUUAUUUUACCUUUCCCUUUUGGCUUCUUUAUUACACUGAGAUAGCAGUUACCCUGUUUCCUUUUUUGUGUAUCUUUUAUAAGAAAAAAUGUGGAAUAAAAAUAACAUAAUUAACAUUGAUUGUACUGGGCAUAAAAUAACAUAUUUGAACAUGUUUCACCAUCUCAGAGUCCAGAAUAUCUUCAUGUCUUACAAAGAAAUUUACAUUUUUUUUUCCUGUAAAUUUCUCCCCCUCUUUUCCUGCUCAACCUUUCAGCCUAGAUAAGUGAAACUUUGUAGUUAAGUCUAAUACAGUAAGGUAUACUGACAGAUUAGUCCUUAUCAUUCACAUGUACUGUCAGUACUUUAAGUACUUUAUAGUACUUCCUUACAAGUUGGACUUAAAAUGGAUUGUCACCAUUCUAGAAAGCUUCAAAAGGAAGGAUGUAAGGUGAGUUUUAAGCACUUUUACGUAAAACCACUGAUUCAUGUUCAAAGACAGCCAGAAUCAUGUUGGAGAUCUUGUGGAUUUCUAUAUUUACAUAAGCAAAGUGGAACUUAAACUUAGUCUUGCUUAUCAAAAUAUCCUCUCAGAAAACUACACCCUUAAAGCUGACCAGGGGGUGAGAACCUAAAAUAAGGAUAUCCUCAAGAUUGCCUUACCUGUACAUCAUAACACUAUGCAUAUUUUUAUUCUAAUUUUUUUCUUUUGUAGUACUAAGAAUUGAACCAAGUGUUGUUUUAUCACUGAGCUACAUCUCAACCCUUUUUAUUUCUUUUAUUUUGAAACAGAACCUCCCUUAGUUGCUUAGGCUAGCCUCGAAUUUGUGAUCCUCCUGCUUCAGCCUCCUAAGUAGCUGGAAUUACAGUGUAUACCACAAGGCCUGACUAUUCUAAUUUUUGAUGACUAGCUUUGAUAGCUCUUCCAUUAUUUAAAAACAUGAAGUAUUAAAAAUGUUUUAGUUUUUAAAUAUAAAAAUAAAAAUAGUAUUAAAAUGUUUAGGUUAGUAACUAUUUUUAAACAUAGGCAUAAAGACAUUGACCAAAGAACAUACUGUUACUUCUCCAUUUGAAAGGAUAGAGUUGUUGGAUAUGCUUAUUUAGUUCAGAUUUUUUUCUAAUGUCAUUUUCCCUGAUUUUAUAAUUUUUGAAAGGUUUUUUUAUCCUUGUGGAAAAUUUUAUUCUAGCCAGGCACAGUGGCGCACCUAUAGGGGAAUUGCGUGUUCAAAGCCAGCCUUAGUAACCUACCAAGGCCCUAAGCAACUCAGCAAGACCCUGUAUAAUUCAUUAUAAUCUCUUUUUACUCUGUACUUAUUCACUAUUGAAAACAAUACAAAAAAGGGCUAGGGAUGUGGCUCGGUGGUUAAGCACCCGUAGGUUCAAUCCCUGGUACCAAAAAAACAAAAAGAAGAAAAUUCUAUUCUGCUAUAGAAUGCCUCUGAAUUAUUAAAUGAAGAUAACACAUUUUGAAAACAUGUUUUACAAGAGUUUUACAUUUUUUUCCUAUAAAUUUCCUAAUGAU